rnacentral:rRNA from 1 species
AGAGUUUGAUCCUGGCUCAGAACGAACGCUGGCGGCAGGCUUAACACAUGCAAGUCGAACGCAUCUCUUCGGAGGUGAGUGGCAGACGGGUGAGUAACGCGUGGGAACGUACCCUUCAGUUCGGAAUAACCCAGGGAAACUUGGGCUAAUACCGGAUACGUCCGUAAGGAGAAAGAUUUAUCGCUGAAGGAUCGGCCCGCGUCGGAUUAGCUAGUUGGUGUGGUAACGGCGCACCAAGGCAACGAUCCGUAGCUGGUCUGAGAGGAUGAUCAGCCACACUGGGACUGAGACACGGCCCAGACUCCUACGGGAGGCAGCAGUGGGGAAUAUUGGUCAAUGGGCGCAAGCCUGAACCAGCCAUGCCGCGUGAGUGAAGAAGGCCUUAGGGUUGUAAAGCUCUUUCAGCGGGGACGAUAAUGACGGUACCCGCAGAAGAAGCCCCGGCUAACUUCGUGCCAGCAGCCGCGGUAAUACGAAGGGGGCUAGCGUUGUUCGGAAUUACUGGGCGUAAAGCGCGCGUAGGCGGGCAUUUAAGUCAGGGGGUGAAAUCCCAGGGCUCAACCCUGGAACUGCCUUUGAUACUGGAUGCCUGGAGUUCGGGAGAGGUGAGUGGAAUUCCGAGUGUAGAGGUGAAAUUCGUAGAUAUUCGGAGGAACACCAGAAGCGAAGGCGGCUCACUGGCCCGAUACUGACGCUGAGGCGCGAAAGCGUGGGGAGCAAACAGGAUUAGAUACCCUAGUAGUCC